rnacentral:misc_RNA from 1 species
GAUGAAGAACGCAGCGAAAUGCGAUAAGUAAUGUGAAUUGCAGAAUUCAGUGAAUCAUCGAAUCUUUGAACGCACAUUGCGCCCCCUGGUAUUCCGGGGGGCAUGCCUGUUCGAGCGUCAUUUCACCACUCAAGCCUCGCUUGGUAUUGGGCAACGCGGUCCGCCGCGUGCCUCAAAUCGACCGGCUGGGUCUUCUGUCCCCUAAGCGUUGUGGAAACUAUUCGCUAAAGGGUGUUCGGGAGGCUACGCCGUAAAACAACCCCAUUUCUAAGGUUGACCUCGGAUCAGGUAGGGAUACCCGCUGAACUUAAGCAUAUAAUAAGCGGAGGA